CUAGUUGGUGGGGUGAUGGCCUACCAAGGCGACGACGGGUAGCCGGCCUGAGAGGGCGACCGGCCACACUGGGACUGAGACACGGCCCAGACCCCUACGGGAGGCAGCAGUGGGGAAUAUUGCGCAAUGGGCGAAAGCCUGACGCAGCGACGCCGCGUGGGGGAUGAAGGCCUUCGGGUUGUAAACCCCUUUCAGCAGGGACGAAGCGAAAGUGACGGUACCUGCAGAAGAAGCGCCGGCUAACUACGUGCCAGCAGCCGCGGUAACACGUAGGGCGCAAGCGUUGUCCGGAAUUAUUGGGCGUAAAGAGCUCGUAGGCGGUCCGUCACGUCUGCUGUGAAAACCUAGGGCUUAACCCUGGGCCUGCAGUGGAUACGGGCAGACUAGAGGUAGGUAGGGGAGAAUGGAAUUCCCGGUGUAGCGGUGAAAUGCGCAGAUAUCGGGAGGAACACCGGUGGCGAAGGCGGUUCUCUGGGCCUUACCUGACGCUGAGGAGCGAAAGCGUGGGGAGCGAACAGGAUUAGAUACCCUGGUAGUCCACGCCGUAAACGUUGGGCGCUAGGUGUGGGGUCCUUCCACGGAUUCCGUGCCGCAGCUAACGCAUUAAGCGCCCCGCCUGGGGAGUACGGCCGCAAGGCUAAAACUCAAAGGAAUUGACG
rnacentral:rRNA from 1 species